CAUUUGAUUUACGCUUACCUUCAACCACAAGUUUUACUGAAAUUUGUGAUCAGGUUUUUCCUGAAGCUGAAAAAAAUGGGAUUUUUAUCAAUAAAAUUUAUAAUAGUGAACAAAUUCAACCUUCGUCCCUUGAUUCCCCGUUUUGUAAAUCGUUUUUUUCUGCUAUUGAUGAACUUGAACUGGAAACACAGGUCAUGAUUUUUCCGGCAGGAACUGAUGCAAGAUAUCU